UUCCGGUCUGGGCGGUGGCGGGCGGCUCGAAGCUGCGCGCGGGCGAGGCAUGUCGGAGGGGCGCGCGGCGCCGGGGAGCGCCGCGCCGCUGGAGGAGUUGAGGAGCUGGCCGGAGGCGCUGUGCCGCCGCGAGCUGCCGUCCGUCCUGCCGCGGCUCCUCUCUAUGUAUCAGCAUUCCGACAAUUGGAUUGAACAUAUUCAAAUUCUGAAAAUUAUUGUGGAAAUGUUUUUACCUCAUAUGGACCACCUGACACUGGAAGAGACUUUCUUCUCACAAGUGCUGCCAAAGACUGUGAAAUUAUUUGAUGACAUGAUGUACGAGUUAACCAGUCAAGCCAGAGGACUGUCAAGCCAUAAUUUAGAAAUCCAGACCACUCUAAGGAAUAUUUUACAGACAAUGGUGCAGCUCUUAGCAGCUCUUACAGGUUGUGUUCAGCAUGUCUGUGCCACCCAGGACUCCAUCAUUCUAGAAAACAUUCAUAGUCUUCCUUCCUCAGUCCUACAUGUAAUCAAAAGUACAUUUGUACAUUGUAAGGAUAGUGAAUCUGUCUAUUCUGGGCAUUUACACCUAGUUUCAGAUCUUCUCCAGGCUCUUUUCAAGGAGGCCUAUUGUCUUCAAAAGCAGCUAAUGGAACUCCUGGAUAUGGUUUGCAUGGACCCUUUAAUAGAUGAAAAUGCUAAUAUUUUGAAUAUGGUAAUAGUUAUUCAUUCAUUGUUGGAUAUCUGCUCUGUUAUUUCCAGUAUGGACCAUGCGUUUCAUGCCAAUACUUGGAAAUUUAUAAUUAAGCAGAGCCUUAAGCACCAGUCGGUUAUAAAAAAUCAGCUGAAACACAGAGAUAUAAUUGCCAGCUUGUGUGAAGACAUUCUUUUCUCCUUCCAUUCUUGUUUACAGUUAGCUGAGCAGAUGACACAGUCAGAGGCACAGGAUAAUGCUGACUAUAAAUUAUUUCAGAAAACACUCAAAUUGUGUCGUUUCUUUGCGAACUCUCUUUUGCACUAUACUAAGGAAUUCCUUCCUUUACUUUCUGAUUCUUGCUGUACACUGCACCAGCUUUAUCUUCAGAUACACAGCAAAUUUCCUCCAAGCCUAUACGCUGCCAGGAUCUCUAAAGCACAGCAGGAGGAAAUAGCAGGCACUUUCCUAGUUACACUGGACCCACUCAUCAGUCAGCUUCUCACAUUCCAACCUUUCAUGCAAGUGGUUUUAGACAGUAAAUUAGAGCUGCCAUGUGACCUACAGCUCCCACAGUGUCUCCUGCUGGUUGUCAUCAUGGAUAAGCUGCCGGCCCAGCCCGACCACGUGCAGGCGCUGUGGUGCACAGAGAGCCAGCUCUCGGACGCUGCGGCCAGGGUAUCUCUGUUCAGAGCUGUUUUCUGCAGUUUUGAGCAGUGUGCCGGUGAGCUCUCUCUGCCUGUUCAUCUGCGAGGAGUACAGAGUAAAGGGCAAGUGGAAGUCGCCGUCACCCUGUACCAGCACGUUUGUGUUCAUCUCUGUGCAUUUAUCACUUCCUUUCCUCCCUCCUUGUUCCCCGAACUGGAUGUUGCUCUGUUGAAUGCUGUGCUCAGUGCUAAUAUGAUCACGUCUCUGUUAGCUAUGGAUGUGUGGUGCUUCCUUUCCCGAUACGGGACUGCUGAACUCUGUGCGCACCAUGUCACCAUAGUGGCUCAGCUGAUAAAGUCCUGCCCUGGAGAAUGCUACCAGCUCACCAACCUGUCCAUACUGUUGAGGCGACUCUUCUUCUUCAUGGCCCCACCCCAGCAGGUGGAGUUUGUCCAGAAAUUUUCCCCCAAAGCAGCAGAAAAUCUGCCUCUCUGGCAGUGUAUUUCCCUCCAGGCAUUACCCGCUGAGCUCAGGAAAGGAGCUGUAUGUGACGUCACCAGAGUUGGGAUUACACGGUGUCGGGAAUGGCUCAGCAGCCGUCGGACUUGGGGAGAACUUGAAUCUUUGAACACGCUGCUGUCUGCAUUGCUUGCUGUGUGUAAUUCCGCCCAUGAAGCUCUGGAUGUUCCACAGCAAACUGCGAUUAUGGAAACUGGGAGUCAGCUCUGGGCUUUUUUAAACACUAACCUGGUAACAGGUCAGCCGCAUGUUCAGCAGACGCUUAGUCUUUUACUUCCACUAUUGGGAUUUUUCGUUCACACUCUAGAUCCUCAUCUGAUAAGUCAGGUAGUAACUUUGCAGACUUCACUGCUUAAAUUAGAGCCUCCUGACCACGUUCGUUUGGCAGUGCUUGAUUUUGUAUCUUCUCUAGGAAAGUUUUUCAUACCUCAAGCUUUCCAGGACAAACUUCUGCCCAGCCUGUCUUCUAUUUUUGCCUUACUGCUAGCUGACAGGAAUUGGAUAGUAGAACAACAUUCCUUGGAGGCGUUUACUCAGUUCGCAGAGGGAACAAAUCAUGAAGAGAUAGUUCCACAAUGUCUCCGUUCUGAAGACACGAGGAACAAAGUUGUGUCCUUUCUGGAGAAGACUGGGCUUGAAGAUGAAACUGCAGUUGCCAGAGUGGAACGUGUGAAACAGGAAAAAGUCAUUUUCCAGGAACACUUUGCCAAAGUUGCUGUAGAAGCAGCAAAGUGGUUGUCUCUACAGCCUGAUGCAAAGAGAGCCCGUCGGGAGUUCCCCUUGGAAGAAGAGUACAGGUCAGCGCUGCAGGCAGCAUCAGGGGCCUUGGAGGCAGUAGAGUCCUUACUCCAGAAGGCUCCGGCUCCAGACUGGCUUCCACAGAAGAUGGAGAUGCUCCAGGAAAGGCUUGACGAGCUGAGACGACGCUUACUCUAGGCUGACUCUCGGAUGGACCGGACCGUGUCACCAGACAGCCGGGUACGAUUUCCACCAUCCUACGCUGUGCUCCGUAGUAACUUCAGCCUUUCCGCAGCUACCUGCUCUUCACAGAAACUGGCCUCAGUCAGACGCACACGGGCUCCUCCUCCACGAACCCAGCGCCGCACCUCUCCGCGGGGCGCCAGCCACCACUCGGGGGGCUCGAGCUUCAGUCGGCACAGACGGCAGAAACGGAGGCUUUUGGGUUUUCUUGUCUGCAGAGCCCACUUUGAGGUAUUAGUUUGAUUUUUUUUUUUUUUUUUUUUAAGGAAAUCCUUUUCCCUAAAGUUCCACCCGUUGUCACCAGUUAUUAUCUUCCCAGUUCAGCUCCCCUUCGUCUCCCCAGCCUGCAGACUCUCCCUGCAGCGAGAUAAAGCAAACCAAGGGCAGGCUGCUGAGACCAGUCUUUCUGAAUGUAAAGGGGCCUAACCCUAACCCUGCACUAGGCAAAGGAACUUCCCUCAGCAGGACGCUGAAGAGGAGGAGGAUUACUUUGGUUCCAGAUUAGGAAACCAGAGCACUGGAAACCCAACUUCCCAGGGACCACAUAAGUACAGUCUGGUGACACCCUAUUCUCGAUUUAACCUCUUUUUAAAUAAAAAGGUUGUAAUAGUAACCAGUGGCCCCCCUAACCAGUCUAAGCACUGCAGUUCUUUCUGGGGAGGGAAAGACACCGUUUACAGGAAGCGACCGCAGUCACCGAGGGCCGCAGCCCUCACUGCGAGCCACUGUGCGUGGGCGCGUCUGGUACCGACGAGACCGGCCGCUGAUACGCGCAAGGGAACCCCUGGAACUAGCGGCCCGACUUACUAAGUAAGCCUCACCUCAGUCAACUCUGCUGCAGCAAAUUUCGAGGAAAACUGCGUCACUGGUGAGACGUCAUCCUUGUCAGAAACCAUCAUUUCUGUCCUCAGUUCAGGCAAAAUAAGAAGAGCAGCUGAAGGCUUAAUUUCUGGAAUCAUAUCGGCAAACCAGUCCAACUCUGGAUCUGGGACUGGCUUCUUUUUUACCUGAAUGGUGAACUCUUCUCCUAAACCAAGUUCUGAUGAAGCCGUGAAGCGCCUUUCUUGUGACGACACUUUUGGUGGCUUGGGUUGGUCUGGGUCAUCCCUGCUUUGUGCAAGACCAGUCUUUUGGGGUAGACUCGGUUUCCAAGGCUCGGACUCUUCAGUGAGUGAAAGCAAAGGAGGAAGAGCCUCCUGUUCCCUAGAGGCACCCGGGGGGACAGCUGGGCCUCCACCUCCCGCGCUAGGCUCAGCAUCCAAGCUGCCAGGCUCCAGGUCGUCCCACGCCUCCUCCGCCUGCACGUCAGCAAGCGGGGAUGUGGAGGCAUCGUAGGAUUCUGCAGGACAAACCCGGAUGCUGACAGCUUUGUUUUCAGGCUCCUCAGGCUCGCUCCAGUCAGGCCACUCCUCAGACUUUUUAGAACUUGAUGGGAAGUUCUCAUGAUCUCCUGAGGUAUUUUUCACAUCUGAGAGUCCAUUCAUGGGAAAUUUAAUAGGCUGAGGAAACUGAUCACCUGUGGGGACAUGUACAGAACCUACUCUCAUAAAGUGUUAAGAGCUAGCAGUAUAUUCAGGAAAAGGUUAACACUUAAAAAAAAAAAAAAAGCAUGGCUCUAAUUUCUUAGAAAUAGACCCAGGUUAUUAGAUUCUACUUACAAAAGAGAUCCCAGCAGAACAGAGCAAGGAUGUGAUAUAUGUUAUUCAAAUACUUAAACUAAACUAACUGGAACAUAUAAUCAUUCACUAAAUAUUCAAACAGACUAAUUUUCUAUAGACAAAUAUAGAAAUGUUUGAAGCCAGGCAGUGUCAACCCCAAGAAGCGCUGUGUGGUCAAGUAAGUUUGUCUUAACCCAAUAUACCCUCGUUUUACUUUUUAAAUUUUGUUUAUUUAUUUUGAAAGAGUAAGAAUCCUGAGCAGGCUCUAUGCUUAGCACAGAUCCUAGUGCAGGGCUUGAUCUCAUGACCUGAGAUGAAAUCCAGAUUAAGAUGCUUAACAGACUGAGCCACCCGGGCGCCCCAACAUACCCUCUAUCUUAAAUAAAUUUCCUUAAAUGCAGUCAAGCUCUUUCUUCCCCCCCCCCCCGCCCCCCUUUAAAGAUUUUAUUUAUUUAUUUGAGAGAGAGAGAAGAUGAGAGCGGAGAAGGUCCAAGGGAGAAGAGGACUCUCCCCAUGGAGCUGAGAGCCCGAUGCGGGACUCGAUCCCAGGACUCUGGGAUCAUGACCUGAGCUGAAGGCAGUUGCUUAACCAACUGAGCCACCCAGGCGCCCAAGGCCCUGGCAUCUUAUGCAGUGUGUCCGGACUCUGCUACUAACAUUUCCCCACACUUAAGCACACAGCUCUUUUUCAUGGCAUACCUCCUGCCACCUAACACAACUAUCAUCCUCCGAUACAACUGGAAAACGCCGCACUAAAGCAUCAGAAGUACCAAAGUAAUGUCUGCCAGCUGUCCUCACCAGUUACGAAGAAACGGGAGGUAGGUGCCCUGCAGUCCAGGAAACACAGAGGAGACCCCAGCUGACUACAAACUUGUAAGUGAUAACAGAAAUCAGCCUCAGUAUUCCCCAAAGUGCCCUUAAUUUCCAGAACUUAAAACUUGGUACUCAAGAAAACAUUCAUCUAUAAACAGUAGUAAAGCUAUAUAAAUGGUAUAUUUCUACCUGUCUGUAAAAGAGGAUUGUAGGAAGCUCGUUGUAUGUGCUUCUUGCUGAUGGGCAUGCUGCCAGAAGAGAGACAUUUAGGGAAUACGCCAGAGGAGGGGUUCUCCAAGACUGGUGCCAUCGGACUCUGCUGGCUACAGAUGACGUGUGGGGGAGAAUCUGAAGAUGAAUAAAAACUCCCAAAAAUAAAAGGGAUAGUAAAUUGCUUCUUGGUCAGGGUAGGUGAGCAACAAUUAAGGGAAAAGGGUCCAUUUAACACAGUUUGAAAAAAUAGGUUGUAGGGAGAGAGCAUCUUCCAGUAUCGGGAGAAACACACCGGUUACACAGUGGACUGCCUGUCGUCAACGUGUUUCAGGGCAGGCUGAGUAUCUACGUGAUGUUAAGGGACUCGAAAGGAUUCAAGCAUUAGGUGAGGAGUUUUACAAAACUUAAUGGCCUUUGAACAUUUUGGCAAUUUAAAAUCAUAAUUGAUUCUACUUUUUAAAAAAAAAGUCUAAGAGUACAGCACACCAAUGUGAAUGUACUUAAUGCCAAACAUUGUACAGUUAAAAAUGGUUAAAAUGGAUUUAAAGUAAUUAACAACAUCCUAAAAUAAUCACUUUACUACUUUGGUGUUUACUUUUCUAAUCUUAAAAAAGAUCCACGUGUAUUUGUAAACAUCAAUGUGUUUUAACUUGACAUGAUAUUGUAAACCUUUUUUGGUCUUAGGUUUGAAUUUGAAAUGUGUGGUGGGAAAUUUUAAAAUACGUUUUCUGUAUACUGUAGAAUCUGUAUGUCCCCACACGCAAAUAGGCAUUUUAUCCGUUACAUAUGAUUAAAAUGUAAUAAAAUGGGAAAAAAUGGUUAAAA